rnacentral:rRNA from 1 species
UAAUUGAAGAGUUUGAUCAUGGCUCAGAUUGAACGCUGGCGGCAGGCUUAACACAUGCAAGUCGAGCGGUAGCACAAGGGAG